rnacentral:rRNA from 1 species
AGAGUUUGAUCCUGGCUCAGAUUGAACGCUGGCGGCAGGCCUAACACAUGCAAGUCGAACGGUAACAUUUCUAGCUUGCUAGAAGAUGACGAGUGGCGGACGGGUGAGUAAUGCUUGGGAACUUGCCUUUGCGAGGGGAAUAACAGUUGGAAACGACUGCUAAUACCGCAUAAUGUCUUCGGACCAAACGGGGCUUCGGCUCCGGCGCAAAGAGAGGCCCAAGUGAGAUUAGCUAGUUGGUAAGGUAACGGCUUACCAAGGCGACGAUCUCUAGCUGUUCUGAGAGGAAGAUCAGCCACACUGGGACUGAGACACGGCCCAGACUCCUACGGGAGGCAGCAGUGGGGAAUAUUGCACAAUGGGGGAAACCCUGAUGCAGCCAUGCCGCGUGUGUGAAGAAGGCCUUCGGGUUGUAAAGCACUUUCAGUUGUGAGGAAAAGUUAGUAGUUAAUACCUGCUAGCCGUGACGUUAACAACAGAAGAAGCACCGGCUAACUCCGUGCCAGCAGCCGCGGUAAUACGGAGGGUGCGAGCGUUAAUCGGAAUUACUGGGCGUAAAGCGCACGCAGGCGGUUUGUUAAGCUAGAUGUGAAAGCCCCGGGCUCAACCUGGGAUGGUCAUUUAGAACUGGCAGACUAGAGUCUUGGAGAGGGGAGUGGAAUUCCAGGUGUAGCGGUGAAAUGCGUAGAUAUCUGGAGGAACAUCAGUGGCGAAGGCGACUCCCUGGCCAAAGACUGACGCUCAUGUGCGAAAGUGUGGGUAGCGAACAGGAUUAGAUACCCUGGUAGUCCACACCGUAAACGCUGUCUACUAGCUGUGUGUGCCUU